UACAGAGGUCCCAAGCGUUGUUCGGAUUCAUUGGGCGUAAAGGGUGCGUAGGCGGCGCGGUAAGUCGGGUGUGAAAUCUCUGGGCUUAACCCAGAGGCUGCUUCCAAAACUGCUGUGCUUGAGUGUGGGAGAGGCGCGUGGAAUUGCAGGUGUAGCGGUGAAAUGCGUAGAUAUCGUGAGGAAGACCAGUGGCGAAGGCGGGUUUCUGGAGAGUUCCUGACGCUGAGGCACGAAGGCCAGGGGAGCAAACGGG
rnacentral:rRNA from 1 species